CGGGGACAACUCGGAGGAAGGUGGGGACGACGUCAAAUCAUCAUGCCCCUUAUGACCUGGGCUACACACGUGCUACAAUGGUAGGUACAGAGUGAGGCUAAGCCGCGAGGUGGAGCAAAACGCAUAAAACCUAUCGUAGUUCGGAUCGGAGUCUGAAACCCGACUCCGUGAAGUUGGAAUCGCUAGUAAUCGCACAUCAGCACGGUGCGGUGAAUACGUUCCCGGGCCUUGUACACACCGCCCGUCACACCAUCCGAGUGGGGGGUACCCGAAGUCGCGAGUCUAACCGCAAGGGGGACCGUGCCGAAGGUACGCUUCGUGAGGGGGGUGAAGUCGUAACAAGGUAGUCGUACCGGAAGGUGCGGCUGGAUCACCUCCUU
rnacentral:rRNA from 1 species